rnacentral:rRNA from 1 species
GGGGCAACGGUAGGUCAGCAUGCCCCGAAUUAUCUGGGCUACACGCGGGCUACAAUGGGUGGGACAAUGGGUAUCGACACCGAAAGGUGAAAGGCAAAUCUCCUAAACCCAUCCGUAGUUCGGAUUGUGGGCUGCAACUCGCCCACAUGAAGCUGGAAUCUGUAGUAAUCGUGUCUCAAAAUGGCACGGUGAAUAUGUCCCUGCUCCUU